GUUUGCGUUGGAUGGGUAAAUUUAUCAAAUUAAGCAAACAAAUUUUAAUAAUAUGAUUCUGUUGAUUUGAUUUUGUUGAAAAGCAAGAAUGGAUAAAUUUGCAGUCAAAAAACGCACGGCAGUGACUCCGAUGAGGAGAACAAGAACGUGGGAACCCCAAAAAAGUCGAAGGUGUGGAUGUUUUUCGACAAUUCAAACGAUGGCGGUAAUGCGAACGCUAACAACGACGUGGAACUUCAAACGCUGGCGAAAAAAUAUUUAUGUAUUCCCACAACGUCUACUGAA
rnacentral:sRNA from 1 species